GACAGAGGAUGCAAGCGUUAUCCGGAAUGAUUGGGCGUAAAGCGUCUGUAGGUGGCUUUUUAAGUCCGCCGUCAAAUCCCAGGGCUCAACCCUGGACAGGCGGUGGAAACUACCAAGCUGGAGUACGGUAGGGGCAGAGGGAAUUUCCGGUGGAGCGGUGAAAUGCGUAGAGAUCGGAAAGAACACCAGUGGCGAAGGCGCUCUACUAGGCCGUGACUGACACUGAGAGACGAUAGCUAGGGGAGCGAAUAGG
rnacentral:rRNA from 1 species